AACGAACGCUGGCGGCAUGCCUAACACAUGCAAGUCGAACGAGACCUUCGGGUCUAGUGGCGCACGGGUGCGUAACGCGUGGGAACCUGCCCUUAGGUUCGGAAUAACUCCCCGAAAGGGGUGCUAAUACCGGAUAAUGUCUUCGGACCAAAGAUUUAUCGCCUUUGGAUGGGCCCGCGUUGGAUUAGCUAGUUGGUAGGGUAAAAGCCUACCAAGGCGACGAUCCAUAGCUGGUCUGAGAGGAUGAUCAGCCACACUGGGACUGGGACACGGCCCAGAAUCCUACGGGAGGCAGCAGUGGGGAAUAUUGGACAAUGGGCGAAAGCCUGAUCCAGCAAUGCCGCGUGAGUGAUGAAGGCCUUAGGGUUGUAAAGCUCUUUUACCCGGGAUGAUAAUGACAGUACCGGGAGAAUAAGCGCCGGCUAACUCCGUG
rnacentral:rRNA from 1 species